CGCCUCUAGUCUUGGCAGGUGCCGUCUCGCUCGCUCUCUCCCCUCGGGCUUCGGCCGGCCGUCCCUCCGCUAGGCCCCUCGACCGCCACUUAUCUUUUCCGCCUCUCAUCUAUGCGUUGUAGAAGGGGCUUAGGGGGUGGGGUGGGGUGGAGGAGAGGGGGCGGGGGCGCGGCGCCGCUGCCUUUCGGUGGAGGUAUGUUUAUGCCUCCUCUCUGCGAGGUGGGAGGAGGAGGAGGAGGAGGCGCAGGCGAGGUGGCGGGCGGGCGGGCGGCGCUGGCGUCACUCAGGGAGGGGUGGGGCGCGGAGUAGGCGGCUUAGCGCGGGGGCGAGGGCGGCGCCCCGGCGUUAACGGCGUUAGCGCGCCCGGCCCCAGCGUCCGCGUCAGCGCCGGCUCUGCCCGACAUCGUCACUGCCGCUCCCGGAACAACAACAACAACGACCAACUGCGUCCACGGCGGCCCGAGCUCCCGAUCCCGCGGUACCCCUGCAUGGAGUCGUGCGGGUUCUGCCUCUUCGUCUGGCGCCUGCCGCUCCCGUGGGCGCAGGCGAUGCCGGAGCGGAGGUACGUCCCUACCGCCUGGUGGUACCUCCUGCGGGUAUGACGACACGGUGUCGAACUACUUGCGUGUAGGAAAAAACGGCAAAAACUACCGGUACCUCCCUUUCGCCAACGAUUUAAGACGCGGUUUGUAGAUGUGUACGUUAAGAAUUCUUCACGCCGUAUAACAAGACCACUAAAUCGAAGAAGACGAGCCUUUCGGAAGAACUCUUACCUGCUCUACUACUUUCCCGUUUCCCCUACCUCUCUUGACCGACUCGACCCUCUUUUCCCCGGUUUCAAACGACCUCACGACCUCUCAUAUUAAACCAGAGGGUUUCGACCUCUACGUCUUUUUGAACCCCUGCCUACCGUGAGCCUCCUCCCAGGAGUAAGUCUAAAAAGACCCGGUUGUACACCUUCGUGUCGCACACACCGAUAGUAUUCUUUACUAGUUGACCAACAACGUUUACGGCCCCUAAGGGCCACACAAUAGAGUUCCUUCCCAGUCCGAGCGCUAAACAGUGCUCUAGUGUUCGGUCUUGAAGUCAGUCUUUUUCUCUCCUAACUCUUACGACCACCAAUGUAACAACGACCCGCCCAGUUACCUUCAAACUUGAACUGUUCUCGUUAACCCCUGUACCUCUACUUUCUUUUAUUCGAAAAUGGUCGGCUCUUUGUCUGACAGAGUCGACUUGGACUUCACUUGUGUCAAUGUGAAAGACUCCUACUACUCAAGUAACAAAACCGGACACUACCAUAUACCCUGACGUACAGUUCAGUUGUUCAUCACCUGAAACACGUGCUUUUCAACUUCUGACUCCUAUCAGAUAGACGACACACACUCUUUCACGAACUGGCCACGAACCGCGGACUCUCACCGCCCCUCCCAACACUGUUGUACUGCUACUAGAACCAACACGAGUUCUUCGGAUGGCUCAACCGGCGAUGAAGAUCGAGCCUCGUUAGAGGCCAGUACGGAUGGUUCAGCCGACGUCGAUGAAGAUCGAGCCUCGUUAGACGUCAGUGGUUGCUUCUCUACGCCGGGUCGCUCGGACUACGGGGUUUCUGGGGCUGCAGCAGCUUCAUCGCGAGGCUCCGUUUCGCUACCAGUCUUCCAGCACUGGGCCAGCUUUGUCGUCGCGAGGCUCAGGUUCGGUGUACCAAGUCUUUCCAGACUAGCCACUAUCUGUUUUAGCCUAUCGUCAUUCACUUCACCACAUAUAUUGUCUCCCUAAGAUAAGUUGUUAAGGGUAUCCCAAACAAGAACAUCGGAAAACAGGUUAUAUGUAUCGUCGUAGAACCAACCACCUAUUUAACGUCUCGAAGAAAAAAAAGGGUCGCUAAACCCAGAUAGAACUACUUAA
rnacentral:rRNA from 1 species